rnacentral:rRNA from 1 species
GACGAACGCUGGCGGCGCGCCUUACGCAUGCAAGUCGAACGGAGUACUCCUUCGGGGGUGCUCAGUGGCGAGACGGGUGAGUAACACGUAGGUAACCUGCCCAAGAGUGGGAAGUAACUCUCCGAAAGGAGAGCUAAUACCGCAUGAAGUCGCUCCGGACAACGGAGUGACCAAAGCAGCAAUGCGCUUUUGGAGGGGCCUGCGGCCCAUCAGCUAGUUGGCGGGGAACGGCCCACCAAGGCAACGACGGGUAGCUGGUCUGAGA